AACGGGUGUGGUUGUCCACAAAGAACAUCCCGCUAAGACGCCAAGAAGCUUGCACCCAAAUCAUCAGUCCAUACGAGAUUGACUCCAUCAUCAGCCCUUCUGCUGUCCGUCUUAAACUCCCAGCUUCUAUGCGUAUCCAUCCCACUUUCCAUGUGUCUCUGUUAAAACCCCUUUUCUCCAGUCCACUUUGCCCUCCAGUCAAUCCCCCUCUACCCCCCCCGGGUCGUGGACGGUCAGCCUGUCUACACGGUCAAUCGGAUUCUGGAUGUUCGACACCGGGGUCGCGGUUUACAGUACCUGGUACACUGGGAGGGAUAUGGCCCAAAGGAACAUUCUUUGGUCCCUCGUCAGUUCAUCCUGGAUCCAUCCCUCAUCUCAGAUUUCAACAGGGCCAGGAGGGGAUCUGCAGGAGCUCCAGUCUUCGCCAGAUUAUCUUGCUUCUAGAGUGCUUACCUCCCGUUGCCGGAAUCGGCUACACGUUUGGAGCCUUCACCGCCUUCCGCUUCGCCCCCUGCCUGCUCGCCCCACCACGGACUGUAGCCUCAGCAUACAGCCAGCUCCCUCCUCUCCUAUCUGGACUCCCCUCUACUACAUGCCCCUCCUUUCCUGAGGGUCCUCACCCCCCACCCCCCUGAAGAUCUUCAACAUUUCUACCCAAUAAACAUUGUUCUCACUCCCACCUCUGCCUACAGUAUCUGCAUUUGGGC
ensembl:lncRNA